ensembl:lncRNA
AUGGCUUUUCUCCAGAGUGCAUUCUUUUGUGUUUCAUUUCCUUCUCCCUCACAGAGAGAUAAGGGAGCAAUGACGCUUCACAGUGUGAGCACUUGUAAGGUCCGGCUUCAGUACAUGGAUUUGAUGGAUAGCUCACUCAGAUGUGCAAGAGUGAAGUUUUGCGUUGCUAUUCUUAUUGUGAAUGAUUCAUCUGUGCAUACUAUCACUUUUCACAGUCCAUGGGGAUCCCUAUUAAAAUGUUUAUAUAUUAACAGAGUUAGACAAAGCACACAACUAUUACUUGAGUGAAAUACAGAUACUGCCAAUCAAAUAUUACUCCAUUUUAAGUGAAAGAGCUAGGGCUAGGGCUAGGGGUCUUUCUAGGAAAGGCCAAUGUUUUUAUUUAUUUAUUUUUUUAUUUUUUUAUUUUUUUGUGAAAGUACAGAAGUAUUAAAAGUGCUUGUUUACAAAAAGUUAAUUUCCUUUAUGUUAAUGCACUGUUUAAUCACUGUUGCAGCAUGUAAUACUUGCAAUACAGUAUGCCAUAUGUAUGAUUUUAUGGUUCAUAUUAGGUUUUCUAAAAAAUAUACAGUGCAUCUCUAAAGGUUCCAAAGUAUUUAUUUUCUUCCUUAAAGUUCCACAGAAGCACCGUGGAGNAAUAAAAUAUAAUGUUCAAAAAUGUAAAUAUGUUCG